CCUACGGGUGGCUGCAGUGGGGAAUAUUGGACAAUGGGCGAAAGCCUGAUCCAGCCAUGCCGCGUGUGUGAAGAAGGCCUUCGGGUUGUAAAGCACUUUCAGUGGGGAAGAAAGCCUUGGGGCUAAUACCCUCGAGGAAGGACAUCACCCACAGAAGAAGCACCGGCUAACUCCGUGCCAGCAGCCGCGGUAAUACGGAGGGUGCGAGCGUUAAUCGGAAUUACUGGGCGUAAAGCGCGCGUAGGCGGUCUGAUAAGCCGGUUGUGAAAGCCCCGGGCUCAACCUGGGAACGGCAUCCGGAACUGUCAGGCUAGAGUACAGCAGAGGAAGGUAGAAUUCCCGGUGUAGCGGUGGAAUGCGUAGAGAUCGGGAGGAAUACCAGUGGCGAAGGCGGCCUUCUGGACUGAAACUGACGCUGAGGUGCGAAAGCGUGGGUAGCAAACAGGAUUAGAUACCCCAGUAGUC
rnacentral:rRNA from 1 species